UGCCAUCAUUAGAAUUGAAUUGAAUUGUAUGACACUCAGUUGGUACAGGAAAAUUGGUGUCGGAACUCAGAGGGUACGUGAGCUCUGUAUUUAUCAAAAGAACUUAUAGCUAAAAUACCAAGAAAUGGCCGGACACGCUGGCUCAUGCCUGUAAUCCCAGCACUUUGGGAGGCUGGCCUCAUAGAAUUGUUAAGAGGAUCAAUCAAGAUGAGAGCUAUAUAAUGCUUAGCACAACACCUGUCACACAUUAAGUACACAAAUGGUAAAUGUCAUGACAAUGAUCAGUUUGAAUUAAAGGUGUUAAAAUGAGCACUGGCCUGGGCCAGAAAAUCUGGAUUCAGGAACCGGCUUUUGCCAUU
rnacentral:lncRNA from 1 species